GACGAACGCUGGCGGCGUGCCUAAUACAUGCAAGUCGAGCGAAGCGGCUGAUGGGUGAGUAACGCGUGGGUAACCUGCCCUUCCGUCUGGGAUACCAUUUGGAAACAGAUGCUAAUACCGGAUACUAAAGGAUGGACUUGCGAUGCAUUAGCUAGUUGGUAAGGUAACGGCUUACCAAGGCGAUGAUGCAUAGCCGGGUUGAGUGAGUGAUCGGCCACAGUGGGACUGAGACACGGCCCAAACGCCUACGGGAGGCAGCAGGAGGGAAUCUGCCGCAAGGGGCGAAAGUCUGAUGGAGCAACGCCGCGGGAGUGAAGAAGGUUUUCGGAUCGUAAAGCUCUGUUGUUGGUGAAGCGGUAAUCAACCAGAAAGUCACGGCUAACUACGUGCCAGCAGCCGCGGUAAUUC
rnacentral:rRNA from 1 species